rnacentral:lncRNA from 1 species
GAUUUUUAUGUUUUUGAGAUUGUUGCAACUAGGUCUAGCUAGCCCAGGGACUAUUUUGCAAAACUGUUAAAGAUUUUGAAUGAUUCCAUUGUUGAAUACAUGUGUAUUUUGAAGUUUCUUGAUAGAUUAAGAAUGGUUGUUGAUAGUUAAGCAAGUUUUGUAAAGUGAUUUUUAGUGAAAAUGUAAUAGGGAUUAAAUUGAGAAAUGUGUAAAGUUAGUGGUUAAAGGUGUGAGUAAAUGAAAAUUAUGGCUGAUAGGGGCAUUAUGGUAAUUCAACUACAUGGGUUAGUCUUGAAUUUCAUUAAUUUGUGAUUUUGUGAAAUAAGGACUAAAUUGUAAAAAAUAUGAAAUUUAUGGGGAAAAAGUGUAAAUGUGUUUUAAAGUGUAUUUUGGAC